rnacentral:rRNA from 1 species
GAUGAACGCUGGCGGCGUGCCUAAUACAUGCAAGUCGAACGCGCAGCGAGAGGUGCUUGCACCUUUCAAGCGAGUGGCGAACGGGUGAGUAACACGUGGAUAACCUGCCUCAAGGCUGGGGAUAACAUUUGGAAACAGGUGCUAAUACCGAAUAAAACUUAGUAUCGCAUGAUAUCAAGUUAAAAGGCGCUACGGCGUCACCUAGAGAUGGAUCCGCGGUGCAUUAGUUAGUUGGUGGGGUAAAGGCUUACCAAGACGAUGAUGCAUAGCCGAGUUGAGAGACUGAUCGGCCACAUUGGGACUGAGACACGGCCCAAACUCCUACGGGAGGCUGCAGUAGGGAAUCUUCCACAAUGGGCGCAAGCCUGAUGGAGCAACGCCGCGUGUGUGAUGAAGGCUUUCGGGUCGUAAAGCACUGUUGUAUGGGAAGAAAUGCUAAAAUAGGGAAUGAUUUUAGUUUGACGGUACCAUACCAGAAAGGGACGGCUAAAUACGUGCCAGCCGCCGCGGUAACAC